rnacentral:lncRNA from 1 species
AUAAUAUACUGUAAAUUAAAGUUGUGAUAAGGCCACGGAUAAUUCCAAAUGAUAAAUGAUUUAAUUUUAUUUUCACAGGAAGAGGCUGAAACAAGGCUGCACCUUGCUCUGAAAUGACACAAUAAUUGGAGCGAGUACAGGAUUACUGCAUUUGUCCUGACUUACCAUUUCAUCAGGAUCAGAUGGAAUUAAUUUAAAUCUGUGUGGUGUUUGUCAGAGGCCUCACACAUGGACUGCCCAGCUGCAGAACAGGAUUAAAUAAAAGGAAAUGAGCUGUUUAAUUACAGUCAGAGAAAUUUUGCGGUGCUGGGCUGCCUUGGAUGGUGACAGCAAGGCUGAAAUGUGUUUAAGGACGUGGCUACAUGAACUGAUGGCUUCAGAGGGCAGAAGAAGGAAAAAAGAAGAAGGAAACAACUUGGGCUAAUGUUCAACAACAAUGCUGAUGCUGCUACAGAGGUGUGCAUACAUCCCAAAGCUGUCAACGAGUGGCAGGGGGUGGCAGUGCCUGUCACAUCUCUGCUUUUGGAAAAGAUCCGAGCCCUGAUGGCACAGCCACACUGCAGUUUCCAUGGCAGAUCUCAGGCAAGAUAUUCCCCGGGAGAGUUUUUGAUGUCACCAUUUUUCAGGUGAGUUCCAUGGUGAUGAUCACAGCUUGUGUU